GACGUAGGGCGCGAGCGUUGUCCGGAUUUAUUGGGCGUAAAGAGCUCGUAGGCGGCUUGUCGCGUCGACUGUGAAAACCCGUGGCUCAACCAUGUGGUCUGCAGUCGAUACGGGCAGGCUAGAAUUCGGUAGGGGAGACUGGAAUUCCUGGUGUAGCGGUGAAAUGCGCAGAUAUCAGGAGGAACACCGGUGGCGAAGGCGGGUCUCUGGGCCGAUACUGACACUGAGACGCGAAAGCGUGGGUAGCAAACAGG
rnacentral:rRNA from 1 species